rnacentral:rRNA from 1 species
AAAGGCGCAAUGAAAGUGAAGGUCCGCCUGGCGCGGACCGAGGGAGGAUGGGCGGUCCCGAGGGUCCGCCUCGCACUCCCGGGGCGUCUCGUUCUCAUCGCGAGAAGAGGCGCACCCAGAGCGUACACGCUGGGACCCGAAAGAUGGUGAACUAUGCCUGGUCAGGACGAAGUCAGGGGAAACCCUGAUGGAGGUCCGUAGCGAUUCUGACGUGCAAAUCGAUCGUCGGAACUGGGUAUAGGGGCGAAAGACUAAUCGAACCAUCUAGUAGCUGGUUCCCUCCGAAGUUUCCCUCAGGAUAGCUGGCGCUCGCUUCUGGCGAGUCUCAUUCGGUAAAGCGAAUGAUUAGAGGCAUUGGGGUCGAAACGGCCUCAACCUAUUCUCAAACUUUAAAUGGGUGAGAUCUCCGGCUUGCUUGAACGGUGAAGCCGCGAGAUAUCGGAUCAGAGUGCCAAGUGGGCCACUUUUGGUAAGCAGAACUGGCGCUGUGGGAUGAACCAAACGCUGAGUUAAAGCGCCUAAAUCGACGCUAUUGGA